CUAGCGAGAGUGCUGCCAAGGUAGAUAAACGAGUCAACCACAUCUUCGGCAAGAUAUAUAGAAUCUAUAUUUCGGUGAAGAGUAUUCGAUGAAAGAAAAAAACACAUUCGGUUUUGCCCUGCUUCUGUGCAGAGUAAUACAUUUUCAAAGGUUGUAAUUGUGUCUGCGGAUAAGUGAAGCUAAUUUCGCGUUUGUUCUAUAUUUACGAAGCAUGAUAGCAUUAGAAAAGAUCAAAUAAAUGAUUUGAAGAAUAUCUAUUUAUUGUAGUGCCUUUGUGCAUCUUUGGUCACGUGCAUCCAGUAAAAUUGGCGAAGGAAGAGUUUUACCUGUCAGAAGUAGAACACGAAUACG